rfam:Callithrix jacchus chromosome 4, whole genome shotgun sequence
AAAAAGGUUCUUUUCAGAGCCACCUCCUUUUUCACCAAACGGCGU